AGUUUGCGUUGGUCGUUCUCUU
rnacentral:sRNA from 1 species